UCAAAGUAUAGUUAAUAAAGAAUAACAUUUCAUUUACGUUGAAAAAGAUUAUCGUGCAAAUCGGUUUACUUUGAG
rnacentral:tRNA from 1 species